UACGUAGGGUGCGAGCGUUGUCCGGAAUUACUGGGCGUAAAGAGCUCGUAGGUGGUUUGUCGCGUUGUUCGUGAAAACUCACAGCUCAACUGUGGGCGUGCGGGCGAUACGGGGCAGACUGGAGUACUGCAGGGGAGACUGGAAUUCCUGGUGUAGCGGUGGAAUGCGCAGAUAUCAGGAGGAACACCGGUGGCGAAGGCGGGGUCUCUGGGGCAGUAACUGACGCUGAGGAGCGAAAAGCGUGGGGGAGCGAACAGG
rnacentral:rRNA from 1 species